rnacentral:rRNA from 1 species
CUGACGCGGUUAAACUUAAGGGCUGGUCUUUAUAAGUAAAAAGGCGUAGAGGAUGUGUAGGCCAAGAAAUUAUCUAAGAAGGUAAAUGGAAUUUUUCUGGAGCGGUAAAAUGUGAAGAUAGAAAAUAGAACACCUAAGGUUAAAACUAUUUACCACAAAAUAGGCUGAAACAUGAGAGAGUGGGGAGCAAACAGGAUUAGAGACCCUGGUAGUCCACUCUGUAAACUUUGAAGAUUAUGUUUAGCAGGCCCGAAAGGUAAAAUCUUCCGCCUGAGUAGUACGAUCGCAAGAUUAAAAUUCAAAAACUUUGGCUGUUCACUACUUCGAUUAGAGGAGCGUGUAGUUUAAUUCGAUGGUCCGCGUGUUACCUUACCCCAGCUUGAAUCUAUGACCGGUAUUGCAUGGCCGUCGUAAGUCCCUGUGUUAAACUAAAAGGGACCCAAUCCGGGCGUUUGCCUGAAGGAAGUCAGGUCUUAUGAUCCGAAUGUUGGGGGAUUUAUGCGCUACAUUUUCUUAUAUAAUGAGAGACUUGAGAGGUAAGCCUCUAAAGUAAGAGUUCGGAAGGUCGCUGUAAAACGACUGGAAGUUGGAUU